UUUACCUGACUUUCAUUUGUUUGAUAUCAUAUUAUUCGAGAUUAUAACUGCACUAUGAUUCCAAGAAAACAAUUGUAAACAAAUGUUCACACAACAGCUUGAAAAUGGGACGUUUCAGCAACGUUAAGGUCGCAACAUUUUCAAAAAAGAUAAACCUGUCUGAAAUUGAACCCGAAUUUCAAUAUUUUGAUGCAAUGAUAACACACCGAGAAGGAAAUUAUGUUACUAUGGUAAGCCAUGAGUAUUAUCGGCCGAGCUACAGGACUCGUUUUCGUCGUCCUGGGCGCAAAAACAAUAGAAAUGUUAAUUUAAAGCAACAGGAAAGCACCGAACACGAGGAUUCACUUUUAGAGAAUCCAUCUGAUGUAAAAAAUAUAUGUGAAAAGCAGGGAAACAUCUCCGGCAAAUAAUUAUUAAUAGUAAAUGUAAAUUAUUAAUAGUAAUUCUAUGAAAUAAGUAAUUCUAAUUAUUAAUUAUUGAUUAUUAAUAAAUAAAGACCUAAAACUUCA